rnacentral:rRNA from 1 species
GACGAACGCUGGCGGCGUGCUUAACACAUGCAAGUCGAGCGGUAAGGCCCUUUCGGGGGUACACGAGCGGCGAACGGGUGAGUAACACGUGGGUGACCUGCCCUCAGCUCUGGGAUAAGCCUGGGAAACCGGGUCUAAUACUGGAUAUGACUCCAUGACGCAUGUUGUGGGGUGGAAAGCCUUGUGCGGCUGAGGAUGGGCCCGCGGCCUAUCAGCUUGUUGGUGGGGUGANGGCCUACCAAGGCGACGACGGGUAGCAGGCCUGAGAGGGCGACCGGCCACACUGGGACUGAGACACGGCCCAGACUCCUACGGGAGGCAGCAGUGGGGAAUCUUGCGCAAUGGGCGAAAGCCUGACGCAGCGACGCCGCGUGAGGGAUGACGGCCUGGU